ensembl:misc_RNA Metazoa_SRP Metazoan signal recognition particle RNA
GCCAGGCAUGGUGGUGUGUGCCUAUAAUUCCAGCUACUUGGAAGGCUGAGGCAGGAGGCUCGCUUGAGCCCAGGAGUUUUAGGCUGUAGUGUGCAAUGACUACGCCUGUAAAUAGCCACUGCACUCUAGCCUGGGCAACAUAGGGAGCCCCAUUUCUU